rnacentral:rRNA from 1 species
UAAAAUAAUUAAGGGCACACAGGGAAUGCCUAGGUAGUAAGAGCCGAUGAAGGACGUGGUAAGCUGCGAUAAGCUUGGGUUAGCUGCAAACGAGCGCCAAUCCCAAGAUUUCCGAAUGGAGCAAUCUGCUAAGAUGGAGUCUUAGCACGAAAGAGGGUACCGAGUGAACUGAAACAUCUAAGUAACUCGAGGAAAAGAAAGUAAAAACGAUUCCCCAAGUAGCGGCGAGCGAACGGGGAUGAGCCUAAACCAUAUAAGUGUCAAGGAUACAGCCGUUGCUUAUAUGGGGUUGUGGGAAGAACGUUUGAAGAACUGUAAGAUAUUCAACAUAUCUAAUGACCGAACUGGAACUAGUUGGAAAGCUAGAUCGUAGAAGGUGAUAAUCCUGUACAGGUAAACUCAUUAGAAUGUAUGUUCUCUCCCAAGUAACAUGGAACACGAGGAAUUCUGUGUGAAUCUGCGAGGACCAUAUCUCGUAAGGCUAAAUACUCUUACUAACCGAUAGCGUAUAGUACCGUGAGGGAAAGGUGAAAAGAACCCCGGGAGGGGAGUGAAAUAGAACCUGAAACUGUGUGCUUACAAGCGGUCAGAGCUCUUCGGAGUGAUGGCGUGCCUUUUGGAGAAUGAUCCUGCGAGUUACGUUCAGUGGCGAGGUUAAGUAUAACGGAGCCGAAGGGAAACCGAGUCUGAAUAGGGCGACAUAGUCGCUGGGCGUAGACGCGAAACCUGGUGAUCUAAGCCUGUCCAGGGUGAAGCUGUGGUAAGACACAGUGGAGGCCCGAACUCACCGCCGUUGAAAAGUUGGGAGAUGAGGUAGGUUUAGGGGUGAAAAGCCAAUCGAACUAGGAGAUAGCUCGUUCUCUCCGAAAUGCAUUUAGGUGCAGCCUUGAGUGUUUAAUUAUGGGGGUAGAGCACUGAAUGAACUAGGGGGCAUAUUGCUUACUGAAUUCAAUCAAACUCCGAAUACCAUAAUUCAAAGCUCAGGAGUGAGACUAUGGGAAUUAACUUCCAUUGUCAAAAGGGAAACAACCCAGACCACCAGCUAAGGUCCCUAAUUAUAACUAAGUGGGAAAGGAGGUGGAGAUUCACAAACAACCAGGAGGUUGGCUUAGAAGCAGCCAUACCUUUAAAGAGUGCGUAAUAGCUCACUGGUCGAGAGUCUCUGCGCCGACAAUGUAACGGGGCUAAGUUAUAAACCGAAGCUGUGGAAUUGCGCAAGCAAUUGGUAGGAGAGCGUUCUGUAGGCCGUUGAAGGAGAAGCGCAAGCAACUCUGGAGGUAUCAGAAGUGAGAAUGCAGGAAUAAGUAGCGAGAAAGGGGGCGAGAAUCCCCCUCGCCGGAAGACCAAGGUUUUCAGGGUAAAGCUUGUCUUCCCUGAGUAAGCCGGGACCUAAGCCGAGGCUAAAAUGCGUAGGCGAAUGGAAAACAGAUUAAUAUUUCUGUGCCAGUUAUAUUUUGUGAAGGAGGGACGCAGAAGGGUAUGUGCGCGGGAGAACGGAAGUUCCCGUAGAAGCAUGUAGAGUGGUCUAGUAGGCAAAUCCGCUAGAUUAGACUUGAGGUGUGAUAUAUAGUCGUAAGAUGAAUGCACAAAUCCCACGCUGCCGAGAAAAGCUUCUAACGUUAAGGUAUAACUGCCCGUACCCGAAACCGACACAGGUGGUCAGGAUGAGAAAUCUAAGGCGGACAGGCUAACUCUCGUUAAGGAACUCUGCAAAAUAGCCCCGUAACUUUGGGAGAAGGGGUGCCCCUGAAUGUUAAUAUACACGCGAUAUGAAGCAUUUGGGGGUCGCAGUGAAGAGGCUCAAGCAACUGUUUAACAAAAACACAGGUCUAUGCUAAGCUGUAAGGCGAUGUAUAUGGGCUGACACCUGCCCAGUGCCGGAAGGUUAAGAGGAGGAGUGAGAGCUCCGAAUUGAAGCCCCGGUGAACGGCGGCCGUAACUAUAACGGUCCUAAGGUAGCGAAAUUCCUUGUCGGGUAAGUUCCGACCUGCACGAAUGGUGU